CAGUUCCCGAUCUUGCCGGAGCCAGCGAAACGGUCGUUUUCCUUCUUCCGGCACCAACAGGUACGUUUCUAAGAGCUCCACCGGCAGUCCAGUAACGAUGGCAGCCUCGGCAGAAGUGGCGUGGUUGGUUGACGUUGUAGUUGUUAAAAUAGCAGAACUUGGUCUCUCUACUCUUGCAUCUUGGACACGGCAAGCCAGACGCCGAGGUGUGGUGUGGUUGGAUCUUCUCCGGUGAGUUUUCGUUUUCGUUUUCGUUUUUGUUUGUGGAUGGUUGUUCUGCCUCUGCUAAAAUUCUUUUGCCAAACAGCUUGAAUCCCGGAGCAGUUGUAGGCGUGGUGGGUGUUUGCGGAUGUUGUUCUCUCCUUGCUUGUUCCACAUGUGAAUCUACCAUUGGUUUGGGACUUGGAAGUUUGGAAGGUAGCAAGCAACUAAAGAACGUAGUGAUUAGGAA
rnacentral:lncRNA from 1 species